AUUGAACGCUGGCGGCAGGCCUAACACAUGCAAGUCGAACGAGUGGCGGACGGGUGAGUAAUGUCUGGGAAACUGCCUGAUGGAGGGGGAUAACUACUGGAAACGGUAGCUAAUACCGCAUACCAUCAGAUGUGCCCAGAUGGGAUUAGCUAGUUGGUGGGGUAACGGCCCACCUGGGCGACGAUCCCUAGCCGGUAUGAGAGGAUGACCAGCCACACUGGAACUGAGACACGGUCCAGACUCCUACGGGGGGCAGCAGUGGGGAAUAGUGCACAAUGGGAGAAAGCCUGAAGCAGCCAAGCCGCGUGUAUGAAGAAGGCCUGAGGGUUGUAAAGUACUUUCAGCGGGGAGGCGUUACCCGCAGAAGAAGGACCGGCUAAGUCCGUGCCAGCAGCCGCGGUAAUAC
rnacentral:rRNA from 1 species